GACGAACGCUGGCGGCGCGCUUAACACAUGCAAGUCGAGCGAAGCGGCGGACGGGUGAGUAACACGAGAGUAACCUGCCUUAGACAUUGGGAUAGCCUCGGGAAACCGGGAUUAAUACCAAAUGGUCAAAGAUGGAAUCGCGUCCCAUUAGCUAGUUGGUGGGUAACGGCCCACCAAGGCGACGAUGGGUAGCCGGCCUGGGAGGGGGAACGGCCUCAUGGUAUCUGAGAACUGUCCAAACUCUACGGGUGGCAGCAGUGGGGAAUAUUGCACAAUGGAGGGAACUCUGAUGCAGCUACGCCGCGUGAACGAAGAAGGCUUUCGAGUCGUAAAGUUCUUUUAUAUGGGAAGCGGUACCAUAAGAAAAAGCCCCGGCUAACUACGUGCCAGCAGCCGCGGUAAUAC
rnacentral:rRNA from 1 species